rnacentral:rRNA from 1 species
UACGAAGGGGGCUAGCGUUGUUCGGAAUCACUGGGCGUAAAGGGCGCGUAGGCGGCUUUAUAAGUCGGGGGUGAAAGCCUGUGGCUCAACCACAGAAUUGCCUUCGAUACUGUAGAGCUUGAGACCGGAAGAGGUAAGUGGAACUGCGAGUGUAGAGGUGAAAUUCGUAGAUAUUCGCAAGAACACCAGUGGCGAAGGCGGCUUACUGGUCCGGAUCUGACGCUGAGGCGCGAAAGCGUGGGGAGCAAACAGG